rnacentral:rRNA from 1 species
UACGUAGGGGGCUAGCGUUGUCCGGAAUCAUUGGGCGUAAAGCGCGUGUAGGCGGUCCGGUAAGUCCGCUGUGAAAGUCGGGGGCUCAACCCUCGAAUGCCGGUGGAUACUGUCGGACUAGAGUACAGAAGGGGCAACUGGAAUUCUCGGUGUAGCGGUGAAAUGCGUAGAUAUCGAGAGGAACACCUGCGGCGAAGGCGGGUUGCUGGGCUGAUACUGACGCUGAGGCGACGAAAGCUAGGGGAGCGAACGGG